AUGCCAAACUACUCGAUUGCAACACAAAAGAUGAUUGUUGCGGCUACCAUGACACUACACAACUACGUCCGCCUCCAUGACAAAGAGGAUCUCCACUUUCUUAGGUGUGAGAGGGAUCCGGAUUAUGUUCCAACUAUUCCUGAUAGAUACAAGAAGUAUGCUAUUCCUUCAAAUGCAUCGGAUGCUUCAACAACGGCAGAAAGUGGUCCUAACAUGGAUUUGUUUAGGCAUGAACUAGCUACAGCCAUUGCUCUUAGUUGGUGA
rnacentral:rRNA from 1 species